UCUUUUAGAACCCGACCAAAAUCGUUAGCUGCAUCUAAAAAGCUUCAAAACUGUAUGGGUUAUUUAUAUUAGCAAUCCGGCCUCCUUCCAAACAGACAAACAACAAGUAGUGGUUGGAUUGAAUUCUAGGAAGGAAAGUGAUGCAUGCUUCUAAAAAAAGAAUACGCCAUUCACCAUUACAAAUCCCCCUAUCCAAUCGCUCAAAAACCCUUUCUCUCCCAUCUCUUAUUGCUCCACACCAAGUAAACUUUGAUCCUCUUGCCCCAUGUUUAUUAGUUGUACAUUGUCAAAUUUCCAAUAAAUUAAGGACUUUCAACACGGAAAAAUAAAAUCUUUAUAUAAGUAAAAUUAGAAUAGCAAAAUAGUAAUAAAAACCCAUAUUGGCUAACACAUUAACACGUGGUUACAAGUUUCAUAUUGCACGUGUACUUGUGAAAGUUUUAAACUGGGUAAGGUUAACUUGGUUUUAGAGUUUAUUGUCCUUGGUUUAAGCAUGUAAUUUCACUAUUAGUGAAACCCACUCCAAUUUUAGCGCCUUUUUCCUUUUGAAUUUUAAAAUUUGAGUUCAAUUUUACCAUUUAAAAUUAGUACACGAAUUUAAACUCAAAGGGGAUUAAUAAAGAAUCCCAGCUCCCAAAAUGGAGAAGAACAAAAAGAGCGGAAAAUUUUCCACCAAAUUUGAGUAACAAAUCAAAUUUUAACCCUCAUUUAUCUCCCCCUAAAUUUUUCUCUCAUUUACUCUCUUAAAUCGCUCAUUUCUUUGAAAAUCCUUCCCCCUUCCUCUUCUCUCUAAUUUCAAAACCCUUCCCCUUCUCUCUCCUCUUAUCAAAGCACAAGAAAAUCUGUCUUGGCUUGCUCGGCAAGGUUGCAUGUCCAACGACACGCAGGUAGAAGAUAUCUCUGUAUUUCGUGCAAGUGAAAGUUUUGAUCUUUGGAUAUGAAGGGUGUUGGUUCAAAAGAAGAAAAGGCGAAAGAGAAGUCAGUGGAGGGUGAGAACAAGAUGAAGCACAAAAUGAGGAGUGCUUCACAGCUGGAACUUGGAAGUUCUAGAGAAAACUUAUGCGGGGAAGCUUAUCAGUCAGAUGCAGUACGAGUUGAGUUAUUUUGAGCAUACCUUGAGUACUGGUCUUUUAUUUAUUUAAUUUUGUUCAUUGCAAGAGGUCCGUUAACUCUUUCAAACCUCUAUAUUUAGGAGGAUAGGUGGGAACAUGGUUCAAGUUGGAGGAUAACCUUUGUACAAAGUUGACAUUAAAUUGGGUGAAGUUCAUGGUUACAUCCUCACCUUUAGAUAAGCAUACAAUGGUGAGAAUUGUGAGAACUGAGGUGAGUGAGUGCUUUCUUGCAAUGCUUACUACAAUUAAUCUUUUAAAUAUUGCUAUAGAGACUGUAGUCACUAUCUAGAUCUAAAAAAAAAGAUCAAUAAGAUUUACUGAAAUGACUUUACCACCAUUUUCUGAUCUGAACUGUUCAUAAAAUAAGUCUAAAUUAUUUAGCUUGAGCUUGAUACUUUUGGUUUGAGAUGGAUUUGGAUUUUAGUUGAUUUCAGUCUUUUAGGCAGCUCUAUGCUUUUUCCUCAACUUGAGGUUCUAUACUUAUCCUUAGAAAUGAAUAUUUAUACUAUGUUCUCAUACUGAUAUAUCUGCACCACCACUUCUUCUAAAUUAAAUGCAAUUUCUAAUAUAAACUGUUGACAAAGCUAUCAUCAUAUGCACAUAAUAUUACAUUAGUAUUAUAGUACUAAUAGUAACAUCCUCCGUCACACAAAAAAUCAAAGGCUUGGUUUUCAUUAUUUUAGGUUGGAGUCAAAGUGAUGUUAUACAAAAAGCUUAGUUAUCUUUUUCUUUGAUUUUGUAAAUUGGUCUUCUGUAAAGUUUUGUUUGUUUUUGUAUUUUUAAUCCUUUUAUUUUCACCAUAUAAAAAUGCUCUUAUUAGUGUAUUUUCUAUUACAUGAUUCACAUAAACUUGAAAUAAUGUGAAUUAGAGUUGAAUUUAUUAUUUUUAUUAAUUUGCAUAAGUUGGGAAUUAUCGUAUGUUUAGUUUUUGAUAUGGUAAAGUUUUGCUUCAAUUACUAUUUGUGCUUUGAAAUUGAGUGAAUUAGGUGUUUCUAGGUUUAAGUAUUUUGAUAUAGCUAUUUAUGAAAAUAUAUGAGGUUUUGUUGUAACAUUCUUUUUGAGAUAUAAAUGAACAAUACAAUGUUUAGAUAUAAGUUACCUCUACUUUUUCUGAGCAAUAUAUUUUUUGAGAAAUGAUU